CGGGAGGUAAUGUCUGGGAAACUGCCUGAUGGAGGGGGAUAACUACUGGAAACGGUAGCUAAUACCGCAUAACGUCGCAAGACCAAAGUGGGGGACCUUCGGGCCUCAUGCCAUCAGAUGUGCCCAGAUGGGAUUAGCUAGUAGGUGGGGUAACGGCUCACCUAGGCGACGAUCCCUAGCUGGUCUGAGAGGAUGACCAGCCACACUGGAACUGAGACACGGUCCAG
rnacentral:rRNA from 1 species